UACGUAGGGCGCAAGCGUUGUCCGGAAUUAUUGGGCGUAAAGAGCUCGUAGGUGGUUUGUUAAGUCUGAUGUGAAAGCCCUGGGCUCAACCUGGGAAUUGCAUUGGAUACUGGCAGGCUAGAGUGCGGUAGAGGAUGGCGGAAUUCCCGGUGUAGCAGUGAAAUGCGUAGAGAUCGGGAGGAACAUCUGUGGCGAAGGCGGCCAUCUGGACCAGCACUGACACUGAGGCACGAAAGCGUGGGGAGCAAACAGG
rnacentral:rRNA from 1 species